rnacentral:rRNA from 1 species
CCUACGGGAGGCAGCAGUGGGGGAUAUUGCACAAUGGAGGAAACUCUGAUGCAGCGGCGCCGCGUGAGGGAAGAAGGUCUUCGGAUUGUAAACCUCUGUCUUUGGGGACGAAGAAAGUGACGGUACCCAAAGAGGAAGCCACGGCUAACUACGUGCCAGCAGCCGCGGUAAUACGUAGGUGGCGAGCGUUGUCCGGAAUUACUGGGUGUAAAGGGUGCGUAGGCGGACUGGCAAGUUGGAUGUGAAAUCUCCGCGCUUAACGUGGAGGUUGCAUUCAAAACUGUUGGUCUUGAGUGAGGCAGAGGCAGGCGGAAUUCCCGGUGUAGCGGUGAAAUGCGUAGAAAUCGGGAGGAACACCAGUGGCGAAGGCGGCCUGCUGGGCCUUAACUGACGCUGAGGCACGAAAGCAUGGGUAGCAAACAGGAUUAGAUACCCUGGUAGUCCAUGCUGUAAACGAUGAUUGCUAGGUGUGGGUGGACUGACCCCAUCCGUGCCGGAGCUAACGCAAUAAGCAAUCCACCUGGGGAGUACGGCCGCAAGGUUGAAACUCAAAGGAAUUGACGG